rnacentral:rRNA from 1 species
UGGGGAAUUUUGGACAAUGGGCGCAAGCCUGAUCCAGCGAUGCCGCGUGCAGGAUGAAGGCCUUCGGGUUGUAAACUGCUUUUGUACGGAACGAAAAAGCUCUCUCUAAUACAGGGGGUGAAUGACGGUACCGUAAGAAUAAGCACCGGCUAACUACGUGCCAGCAGCCGCGGUAAUACGUAGGGUGCGAGCGUUAAUCGGAAUUACUGGGCGUAAAGCGUGCGCAGGCGGUUUUGUAAGACAGAGGUGAAAUCCCCGGGCUCAACCUGGGAACUGCCUUUGUGACUGCAAGGCUGGAGUGCGGCAGAGGGGGAUGGAAUUCCGCGUGUAGCAGUGAAAUGCGUAGAUAUGCGGAGGAACACCGAUGGCGAAGGCAAUCCCCUGGGCCUGCACUGACGCUCAUGCACGAAAGCGUGGGGAGCAAACA